CACAUAUGGGCCACUACCCCAAUACAAUACGCUGCAUCCGCGAGCACUCGGGCCACCCGUUGUCCCGGUUGGAGAGUUAGCGAGUAAAGUCACAUAAUCAUCCAGGGGGCACACGGGCCCCAUUGUGUACCCGCUCCCGUAUCGCGCACACGAGGGGGGGGGGAGAAAGAAGAUGAUACCGAGUCACUUUUCGAAACUGCCCACGUAGGCAACACAGGAAAAGAGUGAGAGGCCCCAAAUCUGUGGGUCACACAAUGAAAAAAUGCAUAAGGGACGGGGGGGCGCGCAAGGCACGGCCCCCCUUUUUCAAAAAAAUGUGUGCAAUUUAUGUGCCGACGGGGAUAUUCUACCGUACACACCCUAUCCCAAAAAUGCAUGUCUAUCACAAAGAUAGUGCAAAGGGGUAAAAAGAAGCCUCCACUUUUCAACUCCGC
rnacentral:misc_RNA from 1 species